GUGGGGAAUCUUGCGCAAUGGGCGAAAGCCUGACGCAGCCAUGCCGCGUGAAUGAUGAAGGUCUUAGGAUUGUAAAAUUCUUUCACCGGGGACGAUAAUGACGGUACCCGGAGAAGAAGCCCCGGCUAACUUCGUGCCAGCAGCCGCGGUAAUACGAAGGGGGCUAGCGUUGCUCGGAAUUACUGGGCGUAAAGGGGGCGUAGGCGGAUCGUUAAGUCAGGGGUGAAAUCCCAGAGCUAAACUCUGGAACUGCCCUUGAUACUGGCGAUCUUGAGUGUGAGAGAGGUAUGUGGAACUCCGAGUGUAGAGGUGAAAUUCGUAGAUAUUCGGAAGAACACCAGUGGCGAAGGCGACAUACUGGCUCAUUACUGACGCUGAGGCGCGAAAGCGUGGGGAGCAAACAGGAUUAGAAACCCGUGUAGUCC
rnacentral:rRNA from 1 species